rnacentral:rRNA from 1 species
UACGGGGGGGGCAAGCGUUGUUCGGAAUUACUGGGCGUAAAGCGCACGUAGGCGGAUAUAUAAGUCAGGGGUGAAAUCCCAGAGCUCAACUCUGGAACUGCCUUUGAUACUGGGUAUCUGGAGUAUGGAAGAGGUGAGUGGAAUUCCGAGUGUAGAGGUGAAAUUCGUAGAUAUUCGGAGGAACACCAGUGGCGAAGGCGGCUCACUGGUCCAUUACUGACGCUGAGGUGCGAAAGCGUGGGGAGCAAACAGG